CCCAGGUCCAUCCGGAGUCGGAUGAUCUGUCUCAUGGGUCAUUAACACCCUUGCCUGGCACCCUUUCUCACCCAUGAGGUGGUGUAUUUCUAGGGGCUCAAUGGCAUUUUAAAAGUCGAUAAAGAUCCUGGGAUUUUUAUGCAAAUAAAUUCUCAACGAAUUUUUAGCUGGAGCUGAUUGCACAAUUUUUUUCAUGACGUGAAGGAAAAAUGACUAAAGCCAAAAUGCUGAAUGUGAGCAAUAUA
rnacentral:lncRNA from 1 species